rnacentral:rRNA from 1 species
CCUACGGGUGGCUGCAGUGGGGAAUAUUGCACAAUGGGGGAAACCCUGAUGCAGCGACGCCGCGUGCGUGAAGAAGUAUUUCGGUACGUAAAGCUCUAUCAGCAGGGAAGAAAAUUACGGUACCUGACUAAUACUCCCUAGCUACCUCCGUCCCAGCAGCCGCGGUCAUCCGUAGGGGGCAAGCGUUAUCCGUGUUUAAUGGGUGGAAAGGGUGCGUGGACGGGAGCGCAAGUCUGGAGGGAAAUCCCAUGGCUUAACCCUGGACCUGCUUUGGAAACUGGACAGCUAGAGUGAAGGAGAGGUAAGCGGAAUUACUGGUGUAGCGGUGAAAUGCGUAGAUAUUAGGAGGAACACCAGUGGCGAAGGCGGCUUACUGGACUGUAACUGACGUUGAGGCUCGAAAGCGUGGGGAGCAAACAGGAUUAGAUACCCUGGUAGUC